GAUUGCUUUCUCUUAUAAUUAUGUGGGGUCUACUACAUAUGACCCUUCUGUAUAACAACUCAGGUUAUCAGAAUUACAUUGCGGUACACUGUGCUAUGGGUGAGGUUUGAUUGUCUACAGGAAUCAAGUAUCUUGCUGGAAAAAUGGCUAUUUAAGAAUGUAAUAGGUCCCAGAGAGCUAUCCAUUUAUAUUUUCUUCUCUUCUAAGGACAUCAUUUGUUAUAAGAUCCCCCCUGGUACAUAUUUUCACAUAAUUCCUCCCCUCCCAAGGGCUCUGAGGAAGUCCUCAGUUCUUCAUAUAGCAUGAUUUUGAUUCCUUACCUUGGUAACAGGUCUGUGCCCUUCUUCCCCUCCCAAGCGCUCGGAGGAAGACCCCAGUUCAUGCUGCAAGAUCUUACUUACCUUGGUACACGUUUUUCCCCUUCCUUCCCUCCCAAGGGCUUAAGGAAGACCCCAGUUCUUCAUGCUCUCUAGUUCUCUAGUUCUUCAUGUUACAAGAUAUUCCUUUGGUAGUCUAACAACCAUCCAUAAUUAAUUUAAGGGUCAAAGAAGGCUCCAAAAUUUCUUGCAUAAAUAUAUAUUUGGUAAAUUACAUAUAGUUAUUUACACAAUUGUGUAUUAAUUUACUAUCUACCUACUACUACUACUACUGCUACUACUACUACUACUAAUUAUAAUAAUAAAAAAGCUACAGAUACAGACAUACAACACAACAGAUAAUUAGAUGGCCCCCCAAAAAACACUUAACAAAAACAUAAAAUUUGCCGAACACAAACACAUAGCAACCUUCCUCGCAGACAAUUUAAGUAACAACAUAAACAUUUUUUCAAAUUCUUUAGGGCAUGCAAAUAUGCUACCAACACUAUUAUAUCACAGAAAGACAACAAUAUCACAGUAGUAACCAGCCCACAACACCGUUCCAAUUAGUGUGCACCCAAGAACACUACCAGACACCAACCAUGCCACACAGCCCCUUCUUCCAACAGCCCCCCUCAACAUUACCAUUAACAGUAUGGGGAGGAGAGGGGGUAUCCUGGCAUUACAGAAGGACUUGACAAGUAAAUUCACUGGGCCCGACAACAUCCUUGCCUUCAUUCUUAAAUCCUUAGCCCCGUCCUCCAGGGACUCCUUGAUCCAAUAUAUAUCAUCCUCAUCAUUACUUUGACUGGCUUCUGACAAACAUCAACCCUUUAUUUGAGACAGGUGACUGGACUGACACAGCCAAUUAUUGCCCCAUUUCACUAACACUGAUUCCAUGUGGAACUUUUGAACACAAUACACAAACACAUAAUGAAAUCUGCUUGACACAAACAUCAUUGUUUCUGACUCACAACAUGGCCUUACAACCCAAAUGCUCAUGUGAAUUGUACACACACACAAAUACCUCAGAGUUCAAUUCUCCAUUAACUUAAAAUUCAACACUCACACAGAACACAUCAGUGCCACAGCCAACUGAACACUUUUGGAUCCUUAAGUGUAAUCAACAUAACUGUAUAAAAAAAAACACUUAUACAACUAGUAGUAGUAUAUCACACUUGUGAGAUCAAUGCUUGAAUACUGCUCCACGGUGCGGCAUUAUCACACACAGAAACAUUGAGAGGUUAGAGCAAAUCUACACCAAGGUGUUUCUAGGAAAGGAAGAGGUUGUGUAGAUUAUUUUCUUUUACUGAAAAUGCUAUUUGAAAAGAAAUGGUGAAGCCAAUAUUUCAUAAAAAAAAAAAGAAUAUGUGAAGAGAGAGUAUGAGGGAAGGAAAUGGUGAAGCCAAUAUUUCAUAAAAAAAAAAGAAUAUGUGAAGAGAGAGUAUGAGGGAAGGAAAUGGAGAAGCCAAUAUUUCAUUAAGAAUAAAUAAAUCUGCAAUGAAAUUUUAGUAACCCUUUCAUUGAUAAAUGUUUGCAGUGGGCAUUAGGCGUAUUUGCUGGUGGCGCUAAACACUCGCUGUGAGCUCCAGCUGCACUCAAAUCUCCCACAUGUGAGUGUUCCAUAACUAAUUCUCAUAACACAGGUCCGAUUGCCAAUAGAGUGGGUUCUUCACUAAAUUUGGUGGAAAAUCAUGUCAGCCAAGCACAGAAAAUCUACGGAUGAGCAAGUGGUGGAUAUUCUUGCCCAAUAUAGUGACAUUUUUGCACAGCUUCACCUAUCACUUGACUCAUAUUUUGACCAAAUAGUUGUAAAGUUUGCAGUUGGCAAUACUCCCUUGCCAGCACCCAUCAUCAAGAGAUCUACAGUAGUUGCCUUGCGGCUGACCGUCACGCACAUAUAAAUGUACAUCUUCACAGGAAACACCCCCUGAACGUGCCUGUAUUUUCGCAGGAGAGGCUUACAUUACCGAAUAUUAUAAAUCUUGGCCUCCUCUUUCCAAUGGUGUUUUUGUUUUUAGCUGUGAUAAAUAGUUUUUUUAUACAAAGGUUAAAAGAGCGAGCACUAGCGUCACUUGCUGGUGGUGCUAAAAGCUCGCUGUGAACGCGCCUGAGGGGAGUCUCAUUGUGAGCGCUUAGCAAUGAAAGGGUUAAGAAAGAUAAUUAAUAUUAUUUUGUGGAGACAAUGGAAACAGUUGAGAAAGGUUCUGGUGAUCUCAAUUAAUGGCUGGACCCCACA